rnacentral:lncRNA from 1 species
AGAUGUUCUAUAAUAAUUAAAAUAAUUGCAUUGGUAAACAAAAAAACGUAACUUUUACAGUUUAACGGCAACUCAGUGUGAUGGCAUCACUGACAAUUAACUCAACAAUCGAAUAUCCUUGGAAAAAACAUCAAGAAAUAGACCAAUAAUGGUGAAACUCACUUAUGUACCAUCAUAUACACAAACACAUAAGAAUUUGGGAAACAGUUGGUUUCAGUCUCAUGGAAAGGUAUCUGAGGGUUCACAUAAUAUGAGAGAAUACUAUACUGCUCAUGCAUUACAUUCUGUCAAAGAUCGAUGACUCUGAUGGUACAACAUGGACCAGCUGCACUGCUAAAAAACGCAGAAUUAACGAGGCGAAAGAAUUUCAGGAAGAUCUCACAUUCAGAAGGUUGUAUCUUUCACUAUACUCAGCGAAAAAUUGAGAAUAAAUUAUCCAUGGAAAUCUCACACCAAAUACUUAAAAUACAUCCAUAGCCCCAUGGACAGAUUCAGCCUUGAAGUUACUUUAAACCGCCCGCAAAAUAGGAAGUCAUGACUGAAACUGCAGUCUGACGAAAACUAACAGUAAUUUCAGAUAGGCAAAUCUCCUAGAAUACCUGAAGAAAAAUUGGAAAUAAACAUUCGUUGGAAAGGUCUUGAAAAGAUAUACAACUUUUAUUUUAAUGGUUCGGUCAUAUUUGACACCUAAAACCCUCAAAACGCAAUCGGUAAGUUACUGCACGCACUGCAAACAGAGUUGUGCAAAACAGACUUGCGAAAACAAACAGCAGGGAAGGAAGGAUUACUUCACUUGAUACCUACAACAGAUCACGCCCCUGCCAUCUCUAUUUCGCUCUUUCCAUCUCUUCCCUGCAGCAAACCUUCUUUCAAGCUGCCUCAGACAUGGGUUUGGAUUGGUGUCCUCCUGAAUACUCUGCCCCUGAAGGCUUUCUUUUCCUUCUCAGAAUCUGAACUUAUCAAAAUCAAGCUAAUUAGUGGAAAAGGCUGCAUAUUGACCUCUCACUAACACAGCCACAUGUGCCAACAAAUAUCUUAACCACUCACCAGGAUCAUUCCUUGGUACAGAAAAACCAAAACAUAAUUAAGCAUAUUAUAUGAACCAGUCUUUUCAAAACCAGUAUUGGUAUUUAAAAUUAAUGAAAUUCAUAUGCAUGGACAAGUGUACGGUUUAGAAUACACAAAAAAAAAAGCAAAGUACUAUUUGGUUAUAGUCAGAGUUCCCCUACUUUGCAAUGUGG